rnacentral:misc_RNA from 1 species
AAUAUUCAAACGUGUAUGAAUUCUCCAAUACAGAAGAAAAUACUAUAGCCAAUAGGCUAAUGCAAGUGUGUCCCAAUUCAAAGAAAGUUCAGGUUGGUUUUAAUAUUUUGAAACGAGAAAUAAAUAUUCAUGCAAAGUAAAAUAUAGUUGUGCAAAAGGGUAAAUGGGAAGGACCGUAAAUUCUUUAGGGUUCUAUCUGCGAAUCUCAAAUAUAGCUGUGGCUGCAAUAAUCAGAGGACCAAAGCAACACCUCAGGCCAACAAAACUCUGAUAUUGCCAUUUAUUCUGGUUCUAUGAUUGAGUUGUACACUCAGGUAUACCCACGGACGGAUCAAAAUCAAAAGCCAGAUGAUGUGGUUCAUCUUCAAACAUCAAGGAGCAAGCGACGGGGAUCUUCAACCACAUCCUUGAUUCUUCUCAAGAAGAAGACUGCCUCUCUUCCAUCGAUCAGCCUGUGAUCGUAUGUCAGAGCAAUGUACAUCAUUGGUCUUGGAACAAUAUUGCCUCCAACGACCAUAGGACGACUGACUAUUGAAUGCAUUCCCAAGAUA